UGUGGGAGCGAGCCUGCUCGCGAAAGCAUUGGGUCAGGCAAUGGAUGUGCAAACUUUGCCGACGUCUUCGCGAGCAGGCUCGCUCCCACA
rnacentral:antisense_RNA from 1 species